rnacentral:rRNA from 1 species
GUAGGUGGGCAAGCGUUGUCCGGAAUUAUUGGGCGUAAAGCGCGCGCAGGGCGGUCCUUUAAGUCUGAUGUGAAAGCCCACGGCUCAACCGUGGAGGGUCAUUGGAAACUGGGGGACUUGAGUACAGAAGAGGAAAGCGGAAUUCCAAGUGUAGCGGUGAAAUGCGUAGAGAUUUGGAGGAACACCAGUGGCGAAGGCGGCUUUCUGGUCUGUAACUGACGCUGAGGCGCGAAAGCGUGGGGAGCAAACAGGAUUAGAUACCCUGGUAGUCCACGCCGUAAACGAUGAGUGCUAAGUGUUGGGGGGUUUCCGCCCCUUAGUGCUGCAGCUAACGCAUUAAGCACUCCGCCUGGGGAGUACGGCCGCAAGGCUG